rnacentral:rRNA from 1 species
UACGUAGGGUGCAAGCGUUAAUCGGAAUUACUGGGCGUAAAGCGUGCGCAGGCGGUGAUGUAAGACAGAUGUGAAAUCCCCGGGCUUAACCUGGGAACUGCAUUUGUGACUGCAUGGCUCGAGUGCGGCAGAGGGGGAUGGAAUUCCGCGUGUAGCAGUGAAAUGCGUAGAUAUGCGGAGGAACACCGAUGGCGAAGGCAAUCCCCUGGGCCUGCACUGACGCUCAUGCACGAAAGCGUGGGGAGCAAACAGG